UACGUAGGUGGCAAGCGUUGUCCGGAUUUAUUGGGUUUAAAGGGUGCGUAGGCGGCUUUGUAAGUCAGUAGUGAAAUACCCCAGCUCAACUGGGGGGGUGCUAUUGAUACUGCAUGGCUUGAGUACAGAUGAGGUAGGCGGAAUUGACGGUGUAGCGGUGAAAUGCAUAUAUAUCGUCAAGAACACCGAUAGCGAAGGCAGCUUACUACACAGUUAUUGACACUGAGGCACGAAAGCGUGGGGAUCAAACAGG
rnacentral:rRNA from 1 species